AUCUCUUCUCAGCCUUUUGGCUAAGAUCAAGUGUAGUAUCUUCGGAGAACCACUUGAUCCUCUGGCCAGGGGCCAGAAAGCCCGGGGCAUUGCGUCGGGGAUUACCCGACUCACUAUGGGUCAAGCACAUGCACUUUAUGGCUUUUAAGCUUUGCUCCUAUGACACUAU
rnacentral:snRNA from 1 species